GUGGCUACUACUCGCGGACAUAAGUGAUUUUUAAUAUUUCAGAUCACUUAAGUUGCAGAAAAAGUUUUGAAAAAAGUUUUGCAGAUAAAUUCAGAUAAGCAGAUGAUAGAAUGAAAAACACAGUUGUAUAGCAUGCACAAAUUGAAUAACAUCAGGAUUAAUUUCAGAUUUCUAAUAGUUGGUACCAAACAAUCAAAUUACAGAAAAUUGAAAUAUCCUAGUACGUGUUUCUAUUCCAAUUAAACAAUUUAUUCAAUUCUUGAACAAAUUCAAACCACAGUAAUAUUCACAUAUUCACAUAUGAUUCAAGAACACAUGUAAAUAAAGU
rnacentral:lncRNA from 1 species